AACGAACGCUGGCGGCAGGCUUAACACAUGCAAGUCGAACGCACCGCAAGGUGAGUGGCAGACGGGUGAGUAACACGUGGGGAUCUGCCCAAUGGUACGGAAUAGCUCCGGGAAACUGGAGUUAAUACCGUAUGUGCCCUUCGGGGGAAAGAUUUAUCGCCAUUGGAUGAACCCGCGUUGGAUUAGCUAGUUGGUGAGGUAAAGGCUCACCAAGGCGACGAUCCGUAGCUGGUCUGAGAGGAUGAUCAGCCACACUGGGACUGAGACACGGCCCAGACUCCUACGGGAGGCAGCAGUGGGGAAUAUUGGACAAUGGGCGCAAGCCUGAUCCAGCCAUGCCGCGUGAGUGAUGAAGGCCUUAGGGUUGUAAAGCUCUUUCGCCGACGAAGAUAAUGACGGUAGUCGGAGAAGAAGCCCCGGCUAACUUCGUGCCAGCCGCCGCGGUAAAAC
rnacentral:rRNA from 1 species